UACGUAGGGAGCAAGCGUUGUCCGGAUUUAUUGGGCGUAAAGAGCUCGUAGGCGGUUUAGAAAGUCAGGUGUGAAACCUCCAGGCUCAACCUGGAGACGCCACUUGAUACUUCUAUGACUUGAGUUCGGUAGGGGACCAUGGAAUUCCUGGUGUAGCGGUGAAAUGCGCAGAUAUCAGGAGGAACACCGAUGGCGAAGGCAGUGGUCUGGGCCGAUACUGACACUGAGAAGCGAAAGCGUGGGGAGCGAACAGG
rnacentral:rRNA from 1 species